GUUCACCCGCACAACCCCGGACCAGUAAAGCCCGGGGAAUGGGAGACCCAAGAUGGGUGCACCGCCUUGGUCCGAGCAAGACCUACUAACUACCAUCCCAGAGCGGACGCAGGUGCCCUGACCACGGCAGGGCCCAGUGAGACUUCUGUCACCCUUGAUUAUCCAUCAACUUGGUCCAAGACCACGUUCUUUCUGGCAGCUCUCAAAGCCUUUGGAAUUUCCUGAAAGAUAAGAGCAAUGGGAGCAUCUUUUAUCAUAACAUUUGGCCUCUUGUCCUCAGUUUCCGAAAUCCCUUCAGGGCCAUAAAAGUGAAUGGGUGUCUUGUUAUUCAUAACAAAUCCCUUUCCACCACAACCUGGUUUAUGUUAAUGAGGUGACUUUUGGACUGCACUUAAGGAAGGGGGCUGGUUGCCAGGGGAACCAACAGAGACUAGAGGGUUGGAACUUGCAGUCCCGCUCCUUGACUUCCAGGGAGAGGAGAGGGGCUGGAGAUUGAAUCAACUGCCAAAGGCCAAUGAUUUCAUCAAUGCUUCCUAUGAAAUGAAGCCUCCAUAAAAACCCAAAUGGAUAAGUUCCAGAGAGCUUCCAGGUUGGGGACCAGAACUCUUCCAUGUGCCACUAUGCUGGGUCCCAAACUCCAUGAGGAUGAAGCUCUUCUGUUCCAGACCUUGCCCUACAGAUCCCUUCAUCUGGCUGUUGGUUUGUGUCCUUUAAUAGCUUUUGUAAUAAACCAGUA